GCGCAGCAGGCGAGAAUACUUUACAAUGUGCGAAAGCACGAUAAGGGAACUCUGAGUGCCUCCUAAGGAGGCUGUUCUGAUGUCUAAAAGCAACAGAAGUAAGGGCUGGGUAAGACCGGUGCCAGCCGCCGCGGUAACACCGGCAGCCCAAGUGGUAGCCACGUUUAUUGGGUCUAAAGCGUUCGUAGCCGGCCAGGUAAGUUCCUUGGUAAAUUUAGCCGCUUAACGGUUAAGCUUUCAGGGAAUACUGCUUGGCUUGGGACUGGGAGAGGUCAGAGGUACUCCGGGGGUAGGGUGAAAUCUAUUAAUCCCUGGGGACCACCGGUAGCGAAGGCGUCUGACCAGACCAGGUCCGACGGUGAGGGACGAAGGCUAGGGGCGCGAACCGGAUUAGGAUACCCCUGUAGU
rnacentral:rRNA from 1 species